rnacentral:rRNA from 1 species
AACGAACGCUGGCGGCAUGCCUAACACAUGCAAGUCGAACGAGACCUUCGGGUCUAGUGGCGCACGGGUGCGUAACGCGUGGGAACCUGCCCUUGGGUUCGGAAUAACUCCCCGAAAGGGGUGCUAAUACCGGAUAAUGUCUUCGGACCAAAGAUUUAUCGCCUUUGGAUGGGCCCGCGUUGGAUUAGCUAGUUGGUAGGGUAAAAGCCUACCAAGGCGACGAUCCAUAGCUGGUCUGAGAGGAUGAUCAGCCACACUGGGACUGAGACACGGCCCAGACUCCUACGGGAAGCAGCAGUGGGGAAUAUUGGACAAUGGGCGAAAGCCUGAUCCAGCAAUGCCGCGUGAGUGAUGAAGGCCUUAGGGUUGUAAAGCUCUUUUACCCGGGAUGAUAAUGACAGUACCGGGAGAAUAAGCUCCGGCUAACUCCGUG